rnacentral:tRNA from 1 species
ACUUAAAUAACUUAUUUAGAGUGUUAUAUUGAAGAUAUAAAAGAAUUAAUUAUUUAAUUUUAAGUA